GGUUCGUAGUCAAGAGGGAAACAGCCCGGACCAGUCGGCUAAGGUCCCGAAAUUAUGCUAAGUGUUAAAUGAAGUGUGGAUGCACAGACAGCCAGGAGGUUGGCUUAGAAGCAGCCAUUCCUUAAAAGAGUGCGUAACAGCUCACUGGUCGAGCAUUCAUGCGCAGACAAUGUAACGGGGCUAAGCAUAAUACCGAAGCCAUGGACUCAUAGCAAAAGUUAUGGAUUGGUAGGGGAGCAUUCCAUUAACUGAAGAAGGAACACCCGAGAGGGGUUCUGGAGGAAACGGAAGAGAGAAUGCAGGUAUAAGUAACGAAAAGACGGGUGAGAUUCCCGUCCGCCGAAAACAUAAGGUUUCCAGGGUAAAGGCAAUCUGCCCUGGGUCAGUCGGUCCCUAAGCCCAGGCCGAAAGGCGUAGRCGAUGGUAAUYCGGUUUAUAUUCCGGKACCUUCGUUAUUUUSAUGCCMCGAAGCAUGGAGCGAAAUCCGGGGGGGGAAAUGUURUUUCCGUCUAARCCUUGAGCCUGCUUAAGUGAAGGGGCUAAUUGACCCUCUGARGUAAGACGUGACAGCGAGCUGAGRGAAAGCYGAGCGAAGCGGACGKAGUCAUGGUGCCGRGAAAKASUGUCUAGGCURAUGCAGGGAUCAGUGCCGYAUACAGACACACCCAURUGUGGAUAAGAAACAUAAGSGCUCGRACGAGAACAUCGCGUUUAGGAACUCUCGCAAAUGCGCACGUUACUUUUCAGAAGAUGCGGGUCCUGGAUGAAAGGAUAUUGAGAGCCGGAGAGCACGCGCAAG
rnacentral:rRNA from 1 species